rnacentral:rRNA from 1 species
AACGAACGCUGGCGGCAGGCUUAACACAUGCAAGUCGAGCGCCCCGCAAGGGAGCGGCAGACGGGUGAGUAACGCGUGGGAAUCUACCCAUCUCUACGGAACAACUCCGGGAAACUGGAGCUAAUACCGUAUACGUCCUUUUGGAGAAAGAUUUAUCGGAGAUGGAUGAGCCCGCGUUGGAUUAGCUAGUUGGUGGGGUAAUGGCCUACCAAGGCGACGAUCCAUAGCUGGUCUGAGAGGAUGAUCAGCCACACUGGGACUGAGACACGGCCCAGACUCCUACGGGAGGCAGCAGUGGGGAAUAUUGGACAAUGGGCGCAAGCCUGAUCCAGCCAUGCCGCGUGAGUGAUGAAGGCCCUAGGGUUGUAAAGCUCUUUCAACGGUGAAGAUAAUGACGGUAACCGUAGAAGAAGCCCCGGCUAACUUCGUGC